AUCAUUUCUCAGCCUUUGGGCUAAGAUCAAGUGUAGUAUUUGCUCUUAACAGUUUCAUAUCUGAUAGUCCUCUACCUAUGAAUGAUAUAUUAAAUGGAUUUUGGAGCUAGGAGUUAGAAUAAGACCUUGCUCUGUCCAUUCCACACAAUAUCGGCCUGGUAUUGCAGUAUCUUCAGGAAUGGUGCACUCAUC
ensembl:snRNA U2 U2 spliceosomal RNA